rnacentral:rRNA from 1 species
AUACGGAGGGUGCAAGCGUUAUCCGGAAUCAUUGGGUUUAAAGGGUCCGCAGGCGGAUUAAUAAGUCAGUGGUGGAAUCCUCUCGCUCAACGAGAGAACUGCCAUUGAAACUGUUAGUCUUGAAUUCGGUCGAAGUAGGCGGAAUGUGUCAUGUAGCGGUGAAAUGCAUAGAUAUGACACAGAACACCGAUAGCGAAGGCAGCUUACUAGACCUGGAUUGUCGCUCAUGGACGAAAGCGUGGGGAGCGAACAGGAUUAGAAACCCCAGUAGUCC